GUUAUAUGGUCAAGUGAAUAAGCGCACAUGGUGGAUGCCUUGGCGAUAAGAGGCGAUGAAGGACGUAGUAAUCUGCGAAAAGCGUAGGGGAGCUGAUAAACGAGCUUUGAGCCUGCGAUCUCCGAAUGGGGCAACCCACAUACCCUUGGGUAUGUAUCAUUAAGUGAAUACAUAGCUUAAUGAAGCGAACCCGGCGAACUGAAACAUCUAAGUAGCCGGAGGAAAAGAAAUCAACCGAGAUUUCCCUAGUAGCGGCGAGCGAACGGGAAACAGCCUGCAAGUAAUAUUUAACGUUUUAGUGGAACGAGCUGGAAAGCUUGGCGAUACAGGGUGAUAGCCCCGUACACGAAAAGGCGUUAAAGGUACUAAGCUUGCGACAAGUAGGGCGGGGCACGAGAAACCUUGUCUGAACAUGGGGGGACCAUCCUCCAAGGCUAAAUACUCCUUAUCGACCGAUAGUGAACUAGUACCGUGAGGGAAAGGCGAAAAGAACCCCGUUUAGGGGAGUGAAAUAGAACCUGAAACCGUGUGCGUACAAGCAGUAGGAGCCCCAUCACUAAGCUGCUUUAGUGGUGGGAAACGAAAAUACCUUUGAUUUUGAGGUGGCGAGCGAGAGCGAGCCCAACCCCAAAACAAGCAGUCAAUUUACGUUAGAGAGUAAAGAGGCGGUUUUGAGGUGGCGAGCGAGAGCGAGCCCAACCCCAAAACAAGCAGUCAAUUUACGUUAGAGAGUAAAGAGGCGGUUUUGAGGUGGCGAGCGAGAGCGAGCCCAACUCCAAAACAAACAGAGGUAGCUUAGUGAUGGGGUGACUGCGUACCUUUUGUAUAAUGGGUCAGCGACUUAAUUUAUGUAGCGAGCUUAACCGAAUAGGGGAGGCGAAGGGAAACCGAGUCUUAAUAGGGCGACUAGUUGCAUGGAUUAGACCCGAAACCUGGCGAUCUAUCCAUGGUCAGGCUGAAGGUUGGGUAACACUAACUGGAGGGCCGAACCCACGUAUGUUGAAAAAUGCGGGGAUGAACUGUGGAUCGGAGUGAAAGGCUAAUCAAGCCAGGAGAUAGCUGGUUCUCCUCGAAAGCUAUUUAGGUAGCGCCUCAUGACUCACUCUUGGGGGUAGAGCACUGUUUGGGCUAGGGGGUCAUCCCGACUUACCAACCCCAUGCAAACUCCGAAUACCGAGAAGUGCAAUCAUGGGAGACACACGGUGGGUGAUAACGUCCAUCGUGGAAAGGGAAACAACCCAGACCAUCAGCUAAGGUCCCAAAAUUAUGGCUCAGUGGAAAACGAGGUGGGAAGGCACAGACAGCUAGGAGGUUGGCUUAGAAGCAGCCACCCUUUAAAGAAAGCGUAAUAGCUCACUAGUCGAGUCGGCCUGCGCGGAAGAUGUACCGGGGCUUAAGCCAUAUACCGAAGCUAUGGAUGCCGUGCAUCUUUAAACUGAUUUACGCUUGUCGCUGAAAGCGACCAAGCCCUCCCGAACGUUAAGUUGGUAGGGGUAGAGAAAGCGCUAAAACGAGUUGGUUUAAAGAUGCACGGCAUGGUAGAGGAGCGUUGUGUAAGUCUGUGAAGGUGAGUUGAGAAGCUUGCUGGAGAUAUCACAAGUGCGAAUGCUGACAUGAGUAACGAUAAAGGGGGUGAGAGGCCCCCUCGCCGAAAAUCCAAGGUUUCCUGCUCAACGCUAAUCGGAGCAGGGUGAGUCGGUCCCUAAGGCGAGGCAGAAAUGCGUAGUCGAUGGAAAACAGGUUAAUAUUCCUGUACCGGUUGUUACUGCGAUGGGAUGACGGAGAAGGUUAGGUUAGCCAACUGUUGGAUAUGUUGGUUUAAGUGUGUAGGCGUGUGCUAUAGGAAAAUCCGUAGCGCUAAGCUGAGGCAUGAUGACGAGUCUCAAUGGAGACGAAGUAACUGAUACCAGGCUUCCAGGAAAAGUCUCUAAGCUUCAGGUAACAAACGACCGUACCCCAAACCGACACAGGUGGAUGGGAUGAGAAUUCUAAGGCGCUUGAGAGAACUCGGGUGAAGGAACUAGGCAAAAUAGCACCGUAACUUCGGGAGAAGGUGUGCCCUUGUUAGGUGAAGCGACUUGCUCGUGGAGCUGAAGAGGGUUGCAGUGAACUGGUGGCUGCGACUGUUUAUUAAAAACACAGCACUCUGCAAACACGAAAGUGGACGUAUAGGGUGUGACGCCUGCCCGGUGCCGGAAGGUUAAUUGAUGGGGUUAUUCUUCGGAAGAAGCUCUUGAUCGAAGCCCCGGUAAACGGCGGCCGUAACUAUAACGGUCCUAAGGUAGCGAAAUUCCUUGUCGGGUAAGUUCCGACCUGCACGAAUGGCGUAACGAUGGCCACACUGUCUCCACCCGAGACUCAGUGAAAUUGAAAUUGCGGUUAAGAUGCCGUAUACCCGCGGCUAGACGGAAAGACCCCGUGAACCUUUACUACAGCUUUGCACUGAACUUUGAACCUACUUGUGUAGGAUAGCUGGGAGGCAUCGAAGCGUGAACGCCAGUUUGCGUGGAGCCAACCUUGAAAUACCAGCCUGGUAUGUUUGGAGUUCUAACCUCGUUCCCUUAUCGGGAAUAGGGACAGUGUAUGGUGGGUAGUUUGACUGGGGCGGUCUCCUCCCAAAGAGUAACGGAGGAGCACGAAGGUACACUAAGUAUGGUCGGACAUCAUACGGUUAGUGCAAUGGCAAAAGUGUGCUUGACUGCGAGACAGACACGUCGAGCAGGUACGAAAGUAGGUCAUAGUGAUCCGGUGGUUCUGAAUGGAAGGGCCAUCGCUCAACGGAUAAAAGGUACUCCGGGGAUAACAGGCUGAUACCGCCCAAGAGUUCACAUCGACGGCGGUGUUUGGCACCUCGAUGUCGGCUCAUCACAUCCUGGGGCUGUAGCCGGUCCCAAGGGUAUGGCUGUUCGCCAUUUAAAGUGGUACGCGAGCUGGGUUUAGAACGUCGUGAGACAGUUCGGUCCCUAUCUGCCGUGGGCGUUGGAAAUUUGAGAGGAGCUGCUCCUAGUACGAGAGGACCGGAGUGGACGUACCCCUGGUGUUCGGGUUGUCAUGCCAAUGGCAUUGCCCGGUAGCUAUGUACGGACGGGAUAACCGCUGAAAGCAUCUAAGCGGGAAGCCCCCCUCAAGAUUAGAUUUCCCUGGACUUUAAGUCCCUGAAGGGCCGUAGAAGACCACUACGUUGAUAGGUUGGGUGUGGAAGUGCAGUAAUGUAUGAAGCUAACCAAUACUAAUUGCCCGUGAGGCUUGACCAUAUAACCCCAAGUAAGUUGGG
rnacentral:rRNA from 1 species